rnacentral:rRNA from 1 species
UGGUAAUGAUGGCAGAGAGGUCACACCCGUUCCCAUACCGAACACGGAAGUUAAGCUCUCUAGCGCCGAUGGUAGUUGGGACCUUGUCCCUGUGAGAGUAGGACGUCGCCAAGC